UACGGGGGGGGCAAGCGUUGUUCGGAAUUACUGGGCGUAAAGGGCUCGUAGGUGGCCAACUAAGUCAGACGUGAAAUCCCUCAGCUUAACUGGGGAACUGCGUCUGAUACUGGAUGGCUUGAGUUUGGGAGAGGGAUGCGGAAUUCCAGGUGUAGCGGUGAAAUGCGUAGAUAUCUGGAGGAACACCGGUGGCGAAGGCGGCAUCCUGGACCAACACUGGCACUGAUUAGCGAAAGCCAGGGGAGCAAACGGG
rnacentral:rRNA from 1 species